rnacentral:Y_RNA from 1 species
GGCUGAUCCAAGAGCAGUGGUGUCUACCACUAAUUGAUCACAAUCAGUGACAAAUUGUUUUGUUCCUUCUCCACUCCCCCAAUUUCACUUGACUAGCCUUAA